ACCUGUUCCCAUGCCGAACACAGAAGUUAAGCUCCUUAGCGCCGAUGGUAGUCGGACUAACGUUCCGCUAGAGUAGGACGUUGCCAGGC
rnacentral:rRNA from 1 species